AGUGAACGCUGGCGGUAGGCCUAACACAUGCAAGUCGAACGGCAGCACAGUAAGAGCUUGCUCUUACGGGUGGCGAGUGGCGGACGGGUGAGGAAUACAUCGGAAUCUACUUUUUCGUGGGGGAUAACGUAGGUAAACUUACGCUAAUACCGCAUACGACCUACGGGUUAAAGCAGGGGAUCUUCGGACCUUGCGCGAUUGAAUGAGCCGAUGUCGGAUUAGCUAGUUGGCGGGGUAAAGGCCCACCAAGGCUACGAUCCGUAGCUGGUCUGAGAGGAUGAUCCGCAACGCUGGAACUGAGACACGGUCCAGACUCCUACGGGAGGCAGCAGUGGGGAAUAUUGGACAAUGGGCGCAAGCCUGAUCCAGUCAUGCCGCGUGGGUGAAGAAGGCCUUCGGGUUGUAAAGCCCUUUUGUUGGGAAAGAAAAGCAGCAGGUUAAUACCCCGCUGUUCUGACGGUACCCAAAGAAUAAGCACCGGCUAACUUCGUG
rnacentral:rRNA from 1 species